UUUGUUGAAAGAUAUCAUAGCCAGAAAACUGAAUAAAGUUAAUUUUACCAUGGCGCCAGAGUUAAGGUUUAAACCCGAACCCACUUUCAGGUAUGCCUCCCUGCUAUUCUCUAUUGAUGAUGUAUACAUGUACGGAAAUGGAAUCUCAACGCCAUGGUAAAGUUAGCUUUAUAUGCAGUUUUCUGGGUGUAAUAUCUUUCAAUGUUUUUUUUUAUAUAUAUUUCAAUGUUUGUGUGGACACUUAAUGUUCAAUAGCCCAUUUGUCUUGCUUAAAGACACUGGCGGUAAAAUCAAUGAGUAUAGACCCUUUGCAAACACGUGACCACGACCACGUGACGACGCCAUGCUGGAUGGCAAAAUCACUGAACGCGCAGGCUGAGCAGUAGUAGACGAGCGGGAAAUUUGAAUAGUUUUAAACAGAUUAAAAUAGAUAACGUUAACGUUACCACUAAACUUCAUGGCUUCUUCUAUUGAAGAAGUUGUAGUGCCGUUAUCAGUCGAGGUAGGGCAUCUGGUAAGUGCUCACAAAGAACGAUAUUUGGAGAAGUUGGAGAUAGCAGGUUUGGAUACAGACCCUUACCUUCUUCCUCCCUCAGUUUUCACGGACCUCAUUAAAUCGCCGAGUCUGCCUGACUUCGGCCCACACGAUUUGUACCACUAUGUGGUAAACGGGGUAUCCCCAUACACUGGUGCUGAUCUCAAAGCUUUUAAAAGUCUGGAUGCUUACCAGUUCUUUGUAGCUGGCUGGGUUACAGGAACGCGAUGCUACACUAACGGCGGGGGGAGGGACCUCAUAAUGGCAAAGGUAAGACAUCGAUCUAUGGUUUAUUUUGUAUUAUUACAUGGCUUAGUUGAAUUCUAAUGUAGAAUGCGGUCUGUUAUUUCUUGAUAAAUAUUUAUAUAACACGUAGCCUAUGAUUUUAGAGGACAUGGUCGGCCGUGGCUUUUUAAUGGAUGCCUGGACGCAUCCCAGCUCGGGGAAGUGCAUUCAUUAAUUAUCGAUCACACGUUAAUCCAUGCAGACAGUAAAUCACGGUGUGUCUGUGAUCCGUAGUAAUCACAAGGGGCAUUUAUGGUGUCACUGCAGCACUAAAUAAUAACAUCACAAUAACAUUCAUGUAAGAAUAAUGUAUUUAUGCCACUUUCUGUAAUUGUAGGUGCAUCACAGUCAGUCACUGUCUGAAACCCAACUACAACCAUGGGUAUCUUUGAAGAAGGAUGGGACAGUCUUGUGCGGCCACUGUACAUGUAAAGCGGGCCUGGGAAAGGUGUGCUCCCAUGUGACAGCUCUGCUGUAUGCAAUAGACUCUGCUGUUAAACAUCUGGAAGACAAAAGCUGCACUGAUGGGCCCAGACAGUGGGGACUUCCUCCUUUGAAAUCGGGCAAGGCUUUGUACAAAGAGGGAUCAGGAAUUGAUUUCUCAAAUCCUGCCAAAAAGCGUUGUGGUGUAAACAACCAAAGCCAUUCAGGUUGUCCAUCUGAGAAAAAAGUGUGUAUGUCUGCAGCAGCUAUAGAACAAUUCUACAAGGCUCUGGAUAAUGCAACUCCAAACCCUUCAGAGAAGAGUGGUAUCCUACGCAUACUGCCACACUACUGUAAACAGUUUCACCCAAACGUGGUGUCUCUGGGUCUACCACAGCCCCUGACUGAGUUAUACAGUGCUCAGAACCGGAAGCUGUCUGCCUCGGACCUUGAGAAAAAAUGUGAUGCGGUAUUCAAUGAUAUGGAAGUCACACCAGAGCAGAUGGGGAUGUGAACAUGAACAAAAAGCCAGAGAGACAUAUGAGGCUUACGCUGCACAACAUCAUCAGGACCUAAGUGUUCGUGAUGCUGGUCUCCACAUUGAUACCUCCCGUCCCUACCUUGGAGCAUCUCCAGAUGCCUUGCUGUCCUGCUCCUGCUGUGGCGAUGGCAUUUUGGAAAUCAAGUGCCCACACUGUGCCAAAGACACCGGAGUCCUCAGUGCCACUGAAAAGAAACAUUUCUGCAUUGAGAACACAAAUGGUACACAUGCACUUAACAGAGAUCAUCAAUACCACUACCAGGUGCAAGCCCAGUUGUUUGUGACGAAGCGGAAGUUUUGUGACUUCAUGGUGUGGUCUACAUCCAAUUUUUUUAUACAGAGAAUUUUGCCUGAUGCUGACUUUUUUACAGAAGCAGUGCAGAAUGUUGAGGCCUUCUAUAGGUCAGUCAUUUUAUCUGAGUUAUUGGCCAAGACAUAUACAUGCCCAGAUAGACUGCUGUCAGACAAAACACAGUCCACAGACUCAUGAAGUGAAUUACUAGAAUUGUUGGGUCUUUGUAAAUUAUAGUGUGGUCUAGACCUACUCCAUUUGUAAUGUUUUUCUUUUAAUUUCUUAUGAUUUGAUACUAUAAAUAAAAUGUAAUUGAAUUAUUA